GGUCCAGCUGCGUCUUGUCCAGCUAAUACCGCUACGCCCAUUCCUCCUUACUAGACCGCCCUCACAGUAACGCCCCUUUGGCUGUUCAAGUUUCUCAAGACAUGCUGCCGAAUGACAACACAAGCGCCGCACAGGACUUUUUAAAACGACUGAAUGGAUUUCGCUGCAGCGAUCACUCAACUGUCGAUUGGGAAGUAAAUAAAUGCUACUGGAUCGAGA